rnacentral:rRNA from 1 species
GACGAACGCUGGCGGCGUGCUUAACACAUGCAAGUCGAACGGAACGGCCCUGCCUUUGUGGGGUGCUCGAGUGGCCACCGGGUGAGUAACCCGUGAGUUACCUGCCCUUGACUUUGGGAUAACUUCAGGCAACUGGGGCUCAUACCGGCUAGGAGUUCCUGCUGCAUGGUGGGGGUUGGAAAGUUUCGGCGGUUGGGGAUGGACUCGCGGCUUAUCAGCUUGUUGGUGGGGUAGUGGCUUACCAAGGCUUUGACGGGUAGCCGACCUGGGAGGGGGACCGGCCACACUGGGACGGAGAUACGGCCCAGACUCCUACGGGAGGCAGCAGUGGGGAAGAUAGCACAGUGGGCGGAAGCCAGAUGCAGCAACGCCGCGUGCGGGAAGACGGCCUGCGGGUUGUAAACCGCUUUCGCCUGUGACGAAGCGAGAGUGACGGUAAUGGGUAAAGAAGCACCGGCUAACUACGUG